AUGGCGGCUUUGACCGGGGCAGCGCUCCUCCUCGCCAGCCUCCUUGCUCUCGCAGCCAUCACCAGCGGCAACACCGAAGGUGACAUCCUCUACUCGCAAAGGCAGGCGUGGAAGGACCCCAACAACGUGCUGCAGAGCUGGGAUCCGACGCUUGUCAACCCCUGCACUUGGUACCAUGUCACCUGCAACAACGUUAACUCCGUCAUCCGAGUGGACUUGGGGAAUGCAGGCCUCUCAGGCGCCCUGGUUCCUGGACUGGGACGAAUGGUGAACCUUCAGUACCUGGAGCUGUUUGGGAACAACAUCAGUGGACCGAUUCCAGCAACCCUCGGCAACCUGACACGCCUGGUCAGCCUUGAUCUCUAUGACAACCGUCUCACCGGCGCGAUACCAGCCUCGCUCGGGAACAUCGAGACGCUGCGUUUCCUGAGGCUGCAUGGGAACAAGCUUGCAGGUGGAAUACCGGCGUCGUUGGGCCGUCUGAAGAAGCUUCAGGCCUUGGAGCUCCAGGAAAACAUGCUGAGCGGCACGGUGCCGCGGGAGGUUCUCUCCCUUGUUCUUGUCGGGGACUUGACUGAGCUUAACGUUGCAAAGAACAGUCUGGCCGGCACUGUCAAAUCUUCUAAACCAAGAGUAGCUACUGUCAUCCAGGACACGCUCAAGACUACACGUCUACACGCUGAGCAGCACUGA
rnacentral:rRNA from 1 species